CAAACAAACAAACAAACAAACAAACAAAAAACCUCAGUGAAGUGUAUUGAAAUGCCCUUUGGUUACAUUUCUAUCUUCCACAAUAGAUAAUGGUACAUCUCAGAAAAAACCGUGCUGUGUUUCUGUAUAUAGUAUUGAUUGGCUUGUAAGAUACAUUGUAGAACAAAGUCAUAAAAUUAUUAUUAAUUAAUCAACAGAUCAAGGCAUAGUGCAGCAAAAUAGCAAACCUUUUUACAUCAUGUCUAAAAAAUCUUUUUUUUUUUUUGAGAUGGAGUUUUGCUCUUGCUGCCCAAGCUGGAGUGCAAUGGCAUGAUCUCGGCUCAUUGCAACCUCCACAAUCUCCACCUCCCGGGUU
rnacentral:lncRNA from 1 species